UUCCUCUGUUGAAAUCGUGUCACGAUUUCCCAAAUCGUGUCACGAUCUGCGUACCACCCAAGAAACGACCAGUCCUUAUCAAGGAUACUUAACGAGCAAGUUUCACGAUCGUGUCACGAUUUUCCCAAAUCGUGCCACGAUUUUGCACCCUGCAACCUAGCUCACGGCACCCCGAAAUCGUGUCACGAUACCAAAAUCGUGUCACGAUUUCCCUGUUCUUCCAGACCACAAAUUUGAAGACAAUCUCAACAAA
rnacentral:lncRNA from 1 species